UUAACUCAAAUUUGUAUGAAGCUGGAAAGUUUGCCUGCGUUUGCCGCUAGGGGCGCUGUUCCAACUGCAUACUAUGUUGAGUGA
rnacentral:pre_miRNA from 1 species